GCGGGUGUAGCUCAAUUGGUAGAGUCUCGGCUUUCCAUGCCGGCUGUUGAGGGUUCGAGUCCCUUCGCCCGCU
rnacentral:tRNA from 1 species